GAUGAACGCUGGCGGCGUGCCUAAUACAUGCAAGUCGAGCGAACGGACGAGAAGCUUGCUUCUCUGACGUUAGCGGCGGACGGGUGAGUAACACGUGGAUCAUCUACUUAUAAGACUGGGAUAACUUCGGGAAACCGUAUCUAAUACCGGAUAAUCUCUUGAACCGCAUGGUUCAAAAGUGAAAGACGGUCUUGCUGUCACUUAUAGAUGCAUCUGCGCUGCAUUAGCUGGUUGGUAAGGUAACGGCUUAUCAAGGCAACCAUGCAUAGCCGACCUGAGGGAGGGGUCGGCCGCACUGGAACUGAGACACGGUCAAGACGCCUGCGAGAGGCAGCAGUAGGGAAUGUGCCGCAGUGGGCGAAAGCAUGACAGAACGACGCGACGUGAGAGAUGAAGAUCUUCGGAGCGUGAAAACCUGUUAUGAGUGGAGAACAUAUGUGUAAGUAGAUGUGCACAUCGUGACGGUACCUAAUCAGAAAGCCACGGCUAACUACGUG
rnacentral:rRNA from 1 species